ensembl:lncRNA
AUUGCCAUUCCCUUCUUCUAGACCUGUAUCAUUCCUUUCAAAGUGGUAUGAGGGGAGGUGGAGUUGGUAUGGCAAAUGACCAUUCCACAAGUCAUCACUCUUUCUAACAUAUCCUUUUCCCCUUAUGUAACUAUAAUGGUAUUAUGUGCUUCAAGCUGUAUUUAAUUAUUUCAGUAUUUAUAAGAUUUGCAGGAGUUUGGAAACUUAACCAUGUUUUUAUCCUCUUAUAGUAAGCCUGGGAGCAAACUGUUUACCUAUUUAUCUCAUUUAAGCUUUCUCUUUGCUUCUUUUCUUUCUUCUUUCUUUCCCUCCUUCCCUUCCCUUCCUUCCUUCCUCUGCCAACCUCUGAGGCUUUAAUAAUGGGUUGUAAGAUUCUGGAAAAGAAAUUUUACUGUAUUUUAAGAGAAAGUAGGCAGCAUUGCAAAAAUGUUUUGCCAGGUAGAGAAUAGAUAUGGGAAAUAUCACAGUCUUUACUUAAUAUUUGGAUAAUGGCUACUCAAGCCCAUGAGGACUGCAGGGAAGACUUUUGAGCCAUUGUUGAAGGCCAUUGAUACCACAAUGAACAAGGGCCUGGGCUUCCUUGUUGGAAACCAAGAUUGGUCAAGAGUGACCUUUCUGAGCCUCUGUGUCUUUGUCUGUGCACUCAGAUACUAACACCUACCCUACAUGCUGCCACAAGGUUAAAGGAACAUUUAUACAUGAAAGAACUUUGUAACUUCCCUUUAUUAAGUGCAUCAGUUGGACCCUAGCGGUGUCCUAACCUCACCCUCUUGGGGUUAGUUUCAAAAGAUGAGGCAGCUCCCUGUGUGUUAAGUACAGUUUGUCUUAGCAUGUUCUUUGGCAGCAGCCUCGCCUUAACUUUUGCUUUUUGUUUAUAUUUUAGGCUCUGUUUGUUUGUUGAGCCUGCUAUUAAUCCUCUAUUUAAGCCAUAUUUUAUCUGUGUGAGAAUAUUGGGCUGAGAACCUCAUACACAAGUAUUUGAAGGAAUAUAGCACAGUGGUUACAUACUGUGUCCUGGAAUUGAACCAUCUCUUAGCAACAUAACUUUGAGUAAGUUUUAUCUUUCGGAACCUUAAUUUCCUCAUAGUAAAGUGGUAAUAAUGGCCCUGCCUGCUUUCCUCAUAGUGUUUUUGUGACACUAAAAUUAGACCAUCUGUAAUAUACUAUCUGCCAUGUGGUUGGAGCUCAGACACUAGUUAUCUAUUAGCAUUACCAUCAGGAUAUAAGCACUUCCAGAGUUGAAACUGUCUCAUCUUCCCCUCCGUGCAUCUACCUCCAGGCACAGUGCUUGGCAUCCAGCAGAUUCUAAGUAGAUGCUGCUGAAUAAGCAGCCCAAAAGUUAAGUUUUAUGUAGUCCCUGCUCUUUCUCUUCCAGUCACUGGUUUCUCCCUGCUUCUGUAAUUUUCCUAGUUAUGGGUACCAAAGGCUGGACUCUUGGAGUAUCCAAGACCUUCAUAUUUUUGGAGCUGGAUGGACCUGAUGCAGCAGUCAUCCAUGACCAUGCAGCUAUUUGGAGAGGACAUAGAAUUCAAGGGAGAGGGCAUUGGAAGUAAGAGGGCUGACUUUGGCUUCCUGCUCUAAAUGAUUUUCUGUGAUCCAGCUUUUACUUGUAAUCCACUUUUAGGUCCUUGUCCAGUUAAUAAAAUCAGUAGUUUGUUUGCUUUUUAGCUGUGGUUUCUUGGCUGCAUGCUCCUUCAGCAGAGAAUUGCAGAAAUGAGACCAAAGCCACUUGCAAAACCAAAUUGUCAACACCAUUCUCCAUCCAGUACAGCCUACUUUGCAGGACCCUUUUAGACAGCAUUGUAAGGGUCUUUUUCUCAAACUGGGUCUUUUUACAGCACUGAGGGACAUAGCCUGAUCUAAUCCCCUCCCAUUCAUGUUGUUGACAAAGGAGGGAGUGCUGUCCUGGGGUUAUGGGUACGGCUGAACACACGACCCUGGACACAGGCUGGGACACACAAGACUGGCAGCAGUUUAUUAGCCGCAUACGCGGGACAUCACACCAUGCAGGACCGCAUGGGAACAGAGUGGACAACCAGAGGCUGUGGGAGGCAGGCCUUCAGUGUCAAAAGAAUGAGAUCACCCCUGGUUUCCACUGGAGGAUGUGGCUGGCUGGUUUGAAUAAUUUUGAAGGCUGGCAGGGAACUGAAACUUGUUACUCAGGGAUAAGCAAGAAGUGCAUCUGGUCCCUUGUAAGGAGGGUUGUUUGGCUACAUGACCUUUUCCUUGGGAGAAGACCAGCAAAGAGAACUUAAGAGUUAUAGGCUAUUUGAGACCCUCCUGAUUUCAUCAGAUGUCAAGGAAACACAUAACAUCAGGCCUUAAUUCUAGGGUUUACACCACAUAGACUAUACUACUAUAACAUUACUAAUUACGUCAGAAUUUCACUCUAGAUGUGUGUUUGUGAAUAUCUUGUUUCCUAUUGAAAUUGUGAGCUACUCAGGGACAACCAGCAUUUCAAAAACAGUUCAUGUUAUGAUUUGGGGAAAAAAAUUGCAUUAAAAUGGUCUUUUGUCACAUGUCAAAGUGCUAUUUUCAAAUUUAGUCACACAAAUACCAUUGAAUACAUCCCAGCUUUGUCUUUAUCAUGGUUAGAUUUUUUUAAUGUAGCAAAACUUUUAGUAGUGAAGGAUGUGCUGUGUAGAACUUAGACUUGUUUCUGUUAAGAGUUUGAACUCAGGCUGGCAAUGAUGCCCACACAUACACAGAUUGCUGAAUUAAAGACGUGAUAUGCCAUGGAUUGACAGUUCUAAUCAUUUAGUUACCCACGUUUGCUGACAUUUCAGAAGAGCUAAUGGGUUUUUUCCCACUCUCUUUUCAAACAAUGGGUGAAACAAUAAAAUGAAUGGGACAUUAACAUUCUUUUAAAAUCAGAGUUAAGCUACAGCCUAAACACCAGAAUGCUGAUGUCUCAAAUGUAUUAUUCAGACAGCAUAUUGUAGGCAUGAAUGGGGCCCAUUAAGAGGUCUUAUUGUUGCUAAAUUGAAGCAGGUUGGUUUGAAG